rnacentral:rRNA from 1 species
AUGGAUCGCGACCGAUCUUCUCGCCGCGGCCGCGGCGAGGACCGCCACGCCACCCACGAGCGCUCGGAUGACCACCACCGACGCCGCCGCCAUGACAGCGACGGCCAUCAGCACCACCACAAGCGCGACGCCGAAGACGACCACCGCCGUCGUCGCCACGACGACGGUGGUGUCGAGGAAGACCGCCGCCGUGCCCGCCGACACCGUUCGCAUUCCCCCUCCGAGUCCCCACCGGCCGCGAAGCGGGAUCGGUCGUCGAGCCGCGCGCCCCGGGAUUCCGUCGAGCGCCGCGAUUCGGCCGACCGCGAGCCGCCGCCGCCGCCGUCACGGAAACGGAAGGACCACGACAGCGGCGGCGGCCGCCGCGACGGCGACGAGCCCGACCGUGAAGGCGGGAAGCGGCCGAGGGCCUCAGUGGAGCCUCCUCCGCGGAAGGAGGAAAGGCCAAGGCGAGAGCGCAGGAGGUUUGAGGAUGUUGAUGCGUAUGGUGAUGAGAGGGGUAAGGGGGACAAGGGCAGUUCGUCUCGUGAGCACAAGAAGGUAGAGUCAGGUGCUAAUGGAGAUUCACAGAGCGCCACAGCCACUAAUGGUGGUGCUCAGCAGCCGCUCAAUUCUGCACCUGCUGUUGCAGUGCCAUCUGCUAAUCCUGUUUCUUCAAAGGUAUCUUCAAUCACUACCACCAAUGAAAAUGGGGGAGUUAGUAUUAGAUCUGAUGAAGUUACUGGAAAAUCUAGUACAGAUGGAACUGCAAAUUCAUCCGCUGGCAGAAGUAGUAACUUAAGUCUUGAUGCUUUAGCGAAAGCUAAAAAAGCUUUGCAACUGAAGAAGGAAUUAUCAGAAAAACUCAAGAGAUUACCUGCGCUUAAUAAACUCGGCACUACUAUUCCUGAUACACAAACUCCUAAGAAAGAAACACAGUCUGUUUCUGGCUCGAUUGCUUCUGCAGUCCAUGCGGGUGCAUCUUCUGAACUGCCUGCUAGUAGUGUCUCUGCUGGCAUUUCAGGGCUUACCAACAUUCCCAAUUUGGAUGCUGUGAAGCGAGCACAAGAGCUUGCUGCUAAGAUGGGAUUUCGCCAGGAUCCACAGUUUGCACCUCUUAUCAACAUGUUCCCUGGUACAUCCAGUGAACUGACUGUUCCUCAAAGACCUGCCAAGGCUCCUGUUCUCCGUCUUGAUGCUCAAGGUAGGGAAAUUGAUGAGAAUGGAAAUGUUAUUAGCAUGACCAAGCCAAGCAACCUGAGUACUCUAAAGGUCAACAUUAACAAGCAGAAGAAGGAUGCUUUCCAGAUUAUCAAACCAGACUUGGAGUCGCUUGCAAAAGCUACUGUUCAUUUUGAUGAAAGGAUGGGCAUCAACCCAACUAAGCUCCUUCGUCCUAAAAGGCCAGGAUUCCAGUUUAUUGAGGAAGGCAAACUUUCGAGGCAGGCUGAACUGCAGAGGAUUAAGAAUCAAUUUGGUGAAGCACAAGCCAAAGAGCUUAAAGUAAAGCAAGCUCAACUUGCUAAGGCAAAGGUCGAGGUAGACAUGAACCCAAAUCUAAUUGAAAUUGCUCCUGGUGGAAGGCCUCCAAAGCAAAAGCAGAAGGAAGAGAUUCCUGACAUUGAGCCAUGGGACUCGAAAAUUCUGCUAUCUCCUACUUACGAGGACAUCUCCUUGGAAAAGCUUAAUAUGGAUAAGAUCACCAUCUAUGUGGAACAUCCAGAACCAUUGGAACCACCGGCUGAGCCUGCGCCACCACCGCCUCAGCCACUUAAGCUGACUAAGAAGGAGCAGAAGAAGCUCAGAACACAGAGGCGCCUCGCUAAGGAAAAAGACAGGCAAGAAAUGAUUAGGCAAGGCCUCUUGGAGCCACCAAAGCCCAAGGUCAAGAUGAGCAACCUUAUGAAAGUACUUGGUGCAGAAGCUACACAGGAUCCGACACGUAUGGAGAUGGAAAUCCGAACUGCUGCUGCAGAGCGUGAGCAGGCUCACGUGGACCGCAACAUUGCCCGCAAACUCACACCAUCAGAACGCCGUGAGAAGAAGGAGAGGAAGCUGUUUGAUGAUCCCAACACACUAGGUUGUAUUGUUUGUGUGUACAGAAUCAGAGACCUGUCGCACCCCCAGACCCGCUUCAAAGUGGACGUGAAUGCCCAAGAGAACCGGCUGACUGGUGCGGCGGUUAUCACAGAUGGUAUAAGUGUUGUGGUUGUGGAAGGAGGGAAGAAGUCGAUCAAGAGGUACAAUAAGCUGAUGCUGAACCGGAUUGACUGGGCUGCUGCAGUUGGUGGUGAGGAUGAUGCCGACGAGGAACCAGACAAGCCGGUGAAUAGCUGCGUGUUAGUCUGGCAGGGUAGCGUGGUGAAGCCCACCUUUCCGAGGUUCAGUGUGCAUCAGUGUCGGAGCGAGGCUGCUGCCAAGAAGGUGUUUGCAGAUGCUAAAGUUCCACACUACUGGGACCUGGCUGUCAACUUUUCGGAAGAUUCGUCUUGA